UUACGACAAUAUCUCGUUGGAAACAACGGUUCCCGUACGGUCUCCGAAGUUAAGCAACGCCGAGCCUGGCCAGUACCUAGAUGGGUGACCGCUUCGGAAUACCAGCUGCUGUAAG